rnacentral:rRNA from 1 species
AUUGAACGCUGGCGGCAUGCCUUACACAUGCAAGUCGAACGGCAGCACGGGUGCUUGCACCUGGUGGCGAGUGGCGAACGGGGGAGAUAUACAUCGGAACGUACCUUAUCGUGGGGGAUAACGCAGCGAAAGUUUCGCUAAUACCGCAUACGCACUGAGGGGGGAAGCGGCGGACCGUAAGGGCUCGCGCGAUUAGAGCGGCCGAUGUCUGAUUAGCUUGUUGGUGAGGUAAAAGCUCACCAAGGCGAUGAUCAGUAGCUGGUCUGAGAGGACGAUCAGCCACACUGGGACUGAGACACGGGCCAGACUCCUACGGGAGGCAGCAGUGGGGAAUUUUGGACAAUGGGGGCAACCCUGAUCCAGCAAUGCCGCGUGAGUGAAGAAGGCCUUCGGGUUGUAAAGCUCUUUUGUCAGGGAAGAAACAGCAGCUCUAACACAGUCUGCGAAUGACGGUACCUGAAGAAUAAGCACCGGCUAACUACGUGCCAGCCGCCGCUGUAA